GAGAAUCAUGGAAUUGGCAGAAGAAUAUUUUGUCUUCAUCCCUGCUCUCAAAACUUAAAACAUUUUCUCUGGAAAUGUGCAAGAGAUUGCUUACCCACAUGCGAUAACCUUCUUCGCAGGGGCAUCAAUAGAAACACCAACUGCCCGCGUUGUGGGGACCAAGAAACCCUCACCCACUUGCUCUUCCUCUGCCCAUUUGCUAUCAACGUUUGAGAACUCACGCCUUGGACAUCCACUUUCGAUUCAACUCAGAGUGUCUCUUUCAGAGAUGAACUCCAGACCUCCGCUCGCCGAGUCACUCUACCACCAGUGGGUAUCACUUCCAACAUCUUUCCCUGGAUUUGCUGGGGCCUCUAGUUGAGCAGAAACCAACUGAUCUUUGAAUCCAAAACCCUGACACAACAACAGAUUGUCAAUAGAGCUAUAGUAUCUUGCAAGAAAUGGGAAAGCGUUCAAUCGAUCAUACCAAAGCCAAUCAGCACGAAAGCUACCCCUCGCAUGCUCUCUGACCCAACAGCAGAUACCAUUAUUUACCAUAAAUACGCAGCGUGGAACAAAGAACACAAAGUCGCUGGCCUCACCUGGAUCUGCUCCACCUCUGAUUCAACCGAGGUAUCUCGAGGCUCCUCCUUUCAAAGCGCGGUGGCUUCUCUUCUCAUGGCGGAGGCACUUGCGAUAAGAUAAGCUCUCUGGCACGCUUCGGGUCAAUCCUACAAACGCACCUGGCUACGUUCAGACUUUCAAGGGCUUAUCACAGCCAUCAACUCGAAUCUCCCAUCGAUAGAACUCCACGGUAUUUUAUCGGAUGUCGAUUCGAUUGCCUCCUCUGAUUUCAAUUAUGUUUCUUUUUCUUUUGUUUCAAGAAACCAAAAUGGUCUUAUAGACUCUUUGGCAAAGGCUUGUCUAUGUAUGAACCCCUCUGGUUUGGGCCUUUAAAGCUCUUUCCAUUUUUAUUAAGUGAAUCUAUUUCUGUUGCUAAAAAAAAAAAUGAGGUAGAUAGGAUAUUGAAGAGAAUUCGUUUGGAUCCUGCUGCAUGUUUACACCGCUAGUACCUGUCUCUCACCUUUGUAAUUAGAAUAGUUGACUUCUCUCAACUUGUCGGGUUCUUCCAACUCUUGAAGCAUAUAAAAUGGGUGUGUGGGAAACUUUUUAAAUAUUUUGUUGUUGUUCUAAUUUAUUGUUUUCUUGUUAUUCGGUUUCUUUUACACUAAAAUAUUUAUAAUAUUUUAGAAAGGUCGGUUUUAAAAUUUUGGGGACCCGUAAGCAACUUAGUAAAAAAUUUAAAAAAUUUAUUAUAUGUAUAAAUUUGGAAGUAUUUUUAUUAAUUUGGAAUAUAUGUCAUGUGUUUAAAAAAAAAUGGACUUAUUUCACUAUAACUUUUCAAAAAGUUUUGACUAAUGUUUCUUUUGGUUUUGUCUAGAAACUCGUUUGGAUUAAACAUUUACCGUAAUAUAAUCAUGAUACUCAAGGUUUAUCAACACAUCAAAUGUUACUUUGUAUAAGACCAUCUUCAGUGUAUUUUAAUAUAUUUUUAUUUAAAAAUAGAAAAUUUCUAUAAUAUAAAUAAAAUUCAAUAGAAUAUAUUUUCCCAUAAUAGUAUUCUUCAAAUAUAAAGUAAAAAUAGAGAUUACUAUAUUUUCUCCUAAAUAUAGAAAAAGUAACAAUUUCUGUUUUGGAAAAUAUAACAAUUAAAGGAAAAUUAACUCUAAAGUUGAUUACAAAUCUUUAUAAAUAAAGUUCACAUAUCUGCCUUCUCAUGCGUCCACGUCGUGUCAUCCUCUCUUUCAAAGAUAAUUUUUUUCGGUUUGCCCAAAUCUUAAUCCUUCAUUUCGUCUAGAUUUUCCUCGCCUACUGCGAAACUUGAUAGUCACCGGUUACAAAUCAAAGGUUCACCCACUUCAUCCACUAAUUAAUCAUUUACUCUCCCCCUUUAGUUUAGAAAUCGAUUCAGUUUUUGAGAUCCCGAAUAAUCUGAGAGGAUUUUUAAUUACGAUGGCAACUAAUCUGAGGCGGAGGAUUAUCCAGAGAUGGAAGGAAAGUGGGUAGGGAGGACGCCGGAGGGAGUGGGACUGGUGGUGAAGCUAGCUGGCGGCGAUUAAGUAGCAGACAGGGAUGAUUGCGAAGUAAACUGUCAAAGAAUAAUACUGAAUAGAAUUUGCAGCGUCGCCACCUGCUAAAAAGAUAUGUGGAACUUUAAGUCAAUGACAGAUGAUGAUCCAAUGAAGUUUGGGUUUGGCUCACCAGGAAUCAAUGAUAAGAAGAAGAAGAAGAAGAAGAAGAAGAAGAAGAAGGCCUUCAAGCUAUAUAACAUUUGACAACCCAUCCCUAAUCAAUCAGGUUCCAUCUCUUUCUCUCCCUCUCUCUGUUAUCCAUCGUUCCUCACUAUUUCUAAUCAGUUUUUAUGAUGCCUUCGUUUGAGCUAAUUGUAUAUGUGUGGUUACGGAGUUGCCGGAACUGGGUAAAGAUUAUUCUGCUCAUAUGCUUAAUUAGUACACUCACAUGAGCUUCCCUUCCCUUUUUCACUAUCUUAUCUUGCUAUGAAAUUGAUAUGAGAUGAUGAGCUUUCUGGAAUGGAAGUGUGGGGGUCUUCUUUUGAGAUGCCAAAACUGGAUGUUUUGAAAUGUUUCUCUAAUUGAAUUGCUAUAAUUUGAGUUGUUAGAUGUGACCACAAGGAGGCAAAUUCAGUAGACAGAUCGUCAGAGAAAAACAGAAGUGGUCUUCUUCUGCUUGAAGGUAAAACGUAAGCCAAUCUGAAGAAAAGUACAAGAAGAGCAAGGGUUGGCGGUUGCAAUUUUGCUCCUACUUUCCAUCGACAAUAUAUGAGCUCAUGUUGUGUCUCAGUUCUGACUCAUGUCUAACUCCCCCACCACAAAUUCAUACACAACAAUAGACAAGAAAUAGCUCAAAUUUUAUCUGAUCACCGGCCAUACAGGCUCUGCAAUAGUUCCAAGUAUAUGAAGACAACUUCAAACUCUCCUAACAGAUCUCAAAAAUGCAAUCGUGCAUUCCGAACUGAGCCUGAGCAUCUUAGAGAGCAUGCCAAAGAAGGGACAAAUGCAAUUUUUUAUGAACCUGGUGUGGAGAAGACCCUAAGGAGAAACACUUCUUCGAACCCCUUUCGAUAUACCCGAAACCACACGGAAAUCACUCACUCACCCAUCUGCUUCAUGGUGAUUCUUGCAUAGAUGAGAAAUGAUUAGCACAAGAUGUUUGUUGGUUGUUUAAUAUUCAUGCGGGAUAUUGUCUCCUUCACUAUUUGGUAAAGCUAGAGGAAAUUGUGCAACAAAUAUACUAUGGUUAAAUUAAAUAUAUGAUGGGGCUGAUUAUUUGAA